GUCGACAGCCAUGCCACCCUGAACAAGCCCGAUCCUGUCUGAUCUCGGAAGCUAAGCAAGGUCGGGCCUGGUUAGUACUUGGAUGGGAGACCACCUAGGAAAACCAGGUGCUGUAGGCG
rnacentral:rRNA from 1 species